GUAUAAGAGACAGCAGUAGCCGCGGUAAUACGGAGGGUGCAAGCGUUAAUCGGAAUUACUGGGCGUAAAGCGCACGCAGGCGGUCUGACAAGUCAGAUGUGAAAUCCCCGGGCUUAACCUGGGAACUGCAUUUGAAACUGUCAGGCUGGAGUCUUGUAGAGGGGGGUGGAAUUCCAGGUGUAGCGGUGAAAUGCGUAGAGAUCUGGAGGAAUACCGGUGGCGAAGGCGGCCCCCUGGACAAAGACUGACGCUCAGGUGCGAAAGCGUGGGGAGCAAACAGGAUUAGAUACCCCAGUAGUCCCUGUCUCUUAUAC
rnacentral:rRNA from 1 species